CGCCUCUUGGUUAUAAUAAGAGGUCUAGCCUGCCCAGUGACAAAUUCAACGGCCGCGGUACCCUAACCGUGCAAAGGUAGCAUAAUCACUUGUUCUCUAAAUAAGGACCUGUAUCAACGGCAUCACGAGGGUUACACUGUCUCCUCUUUCUAAUCAGUGAAACUGAUCCCCCCAUGAAAAAGUGGGGAUAAACCUAUAAGACGAGAAGACCCCAUGGAGCUUUAAACCCGAUAGCAAUUUAGCAAAAUACUCUCCUAUCAUCUACAAAAUCAUGCUAGAGGUUUUAGGUUGGGAGGACCGCGGAGUAAAAAUUAGCCUCCGCAACGAAAAGACCUAAAUCUUUACCAAAGAACCACUACUCUAAGGAUUAGAAAACUAACGUUAAAUGACCCGACACCGAUCAACGAACCUAGUUACCCUGGGGAUAACAGCGCAAUCUACUUCAAGAGUUCAUAUCGACAGGUAGGCUUACGACCUCGAUGUUGGAUCAGGGUAUCCCAGUGGUGCAGCCGCUACUGAAGGUUCGUUUGUUCAACGAUUAAAACCCU
rnacentral:rRNA from 1 species